rnacentral:rRNA from 1 species
AGAGUUUGAUCCUGGCUCAGGACGAACGCUGGCGGCGUGCUUAACACAUGCAAGUCGAACGAGACGAUUGAAAGCUUGCUUUUGAAAGUCGAGUGGCAAACGGGUGAGUAACGCGUAGACAACCUGCCGUAAAGAUGGGGACAACAGUCCGAAAGGACUGCUAAUACCGAAUGUUGUAAAUCUUCUGCAUGGGAGACUUACUAAAGGUGGCCUCUACUUGUAAGCUAUCGCUUUACGAUGGGUCUGCGUCUGAUUAGCUGGUUGGUGGGGUAACGGCCUACCAAGGCAACGAUCAGUAGCCGGUCUGAGAGGAUGAACGGCCACAUUGGAACUGAGACACGGUCCAGACUCCUACGGGAGGCAGCAGUGGGGAAUCUUCCGCAAUGGGCGCAAGCCUGACGGAGCAACGCCGCGUGAGUGAAGAAGGGUUUCGACUCGUAAAGCUCUGUUGUCGGGGACGAACGUGGAGACGGCGAAUAGCCGUUUCCAAUGACGGUACCUGACGAGGAAGCCACGGCUAACUACGUGCCAGCAGCCGCGGUAAUACGUAGGUGGCGAGCGUUGUCCGGAAUUAUUGGGCGUAAAGGGAGCGCAGGCGGGAAGGUAAGUCUAUCUUAAAAGUGCGGGGCUCAACCCCGUGAGGGGAUGGAAACUAUCUUUCUUGAGUAGUGCAGAGGUAGGCGGAAUUCCCGGUGUAGCGGUGGAAUGCGUAGAUAUCGGGAGGAACACCAGUGGCGAAGGCGGCCUACUGGGCACCAACUGACGCAGAGGCUCGAAAGUGUGGGUAGCAAACAGGAUUAGAUACCCUGGUAGUCCACACCGUAAACGAUGAUUACUAGGUGUUGGAGGAUUGACCCCUUCAGUGCCGCAGUUAACACAAUAAGUAAUCCACCUGGGGAGUACGACCGCAAGGUUGAAACUCAAAGGAAUUGACGGGGGCCCGCACAAGCAGUGGAGUAUGUGGUUUAAUUCGACGCAACGCGAAGAACCUUACCAAGUCUUGACAUCCUGCGACGGACAUAGAAAUAUGUUUUUCCUUCGGGACGCAGAGACAGGUGGUGCAUGGUUGUCGUCAGCUCGUGUCGUGAGAUGUUGGGUUAAGUCCCGCAACGAGCGCAACCCUUAUGGUCAGUUACUACGCAAGAGGACUCUGGCCAGACUGCCGUUGACAAAACGGAGGAAGGUGGGGAUGACGUCAAAUCAUCAUGCCCUUUAUGACUUGGGCUACACACGUACUACAAUGGCGUUAAACAAAGAGAAGCAAGACCGCGAGGUGGAGCAAAACUCAGAAACAACGUCCCAGUUCGGACUGCAGGCUGCAACUCGCCUGCACGAAGUCGGAAUUGCUAGUAAUCGUGGAUCAGCAUGCCACGGUGAAUACGUUCCCGGGCCUUGUACACACCGCCCGUCACACCAUGAGAGCCGGGGGGACCCGAAGUCGGUAGUCUAACCGCAAGGAGGACGCCGCCGAAGGUAAAACUGGUGAUUGGGGUGAAGUCGUAACAAGGUA